UACGUAGGUGGCAAGCGAUACUCGGAAUCACUAGGCGUAAAGCGCAGGUAGGAGGUUUAGUAAGUCUGUUGUGAAAGCUCCCGGCUUAACUGGGAGAGGUCAACGGAAACUGCUAGGCUAGAGUGUGGUAGAGGUAGCUGGAAUUCCCGGUGUAGCGGUGAAAUGCGCAGAUAUCAGGAGGAACACCGGUGGCGAAGGCGGGUCUCUGGGCCGAAACUGACGCUGAGGAGCGAAAGCGUGGGGAGCAAACAGG
rnacentral:rRNA from 1 species